ensembl:lncRNA
CCCCCCCACCCCAAAGCACUCUGGGUGGGCAGCGGUUCCUCUGUUUCUCAUUGGCUCCCUCUCUCUCAAUCAGCAGAUUGUCUCCACCCUCCUCUGCUCAUUUCCUGUCUGUAAGUCACCAACAGCAGUGUAAGCAAGGGGAGGUUUUAACAGUCUGCUCUCAACCCUUGCCUAAAAAUGUGACUUCUCAUGUUUUUAGGCAAGAUUCCAGAAGCAAUCUUGAUAGGAAAAAGAGACAGCCUCUUCACAGACAGAAUAUAUCAUUCUUUUAUCUAUGUUCACCCAAUCAGGGCUCUUUCCUGGAAAUGAUGUUUGAGAAGAUCUUGAUGAGAGCCUUGGAGUCUGUGGUUUCCCAGAGGCACAAGAUUUGUGCCUUUAAGUAAGCCGGCAUCCUACUAAAAGGUGGUAUUGAAAAAUUCCAAGAAAUGGCUUACUGUCUACCUGUUACGGUUAUCCCCGUAUUCCCAAUUCCUCUUUUGGAUUUGAGUUUCUCCAGCAGCUACCUCAAAUAAGCGUUCUUACUUGAAAAGAAAAGGAAAAGAAAGAAAAAUGCAGUGUUUAGGAGGAGGUGGCCGCGUUCUGAUCUUCACCACCUCUCUGCACUUAGGGAAUGAACCACAGGUGGGAAGUAGCUUUCAUAAGUCAAUUCACCUGAGUCAGUUUGAGUUUGGCCGCGUUCCCCUUCUGGUCCUGAGGUCACAGGAAAAAGGAGGAGCCUUUUGAUGAGAGGAACUGGGGUGUUUGAGGUGAUGAAAGUUUGAGGGCAGCCAGAAGAUAGUGGGAACACACAAAACUUUUGCCAAGAAGGCAGCUGUCUGUGCACCAUGCCUGUGGCCCUUCAUUUUUCUGACUUCUGUCUUCACUCCUGCUGUUCCUCGAAGAAACUGGUAUCCAGACCCAGGUACUGAUGAUGGACCCUAAGUGGACAGCUGGAAGUCCAGAAGACAGGACAAAACAUCUGUCGGCAUCUCCCAUACUGAACAUGGAACAUGAGUGAGAAAUAAACCUCUGUUAUAAAAGUCGCUUCGAUUCGGGGCUGUUACUGCAGAAUCCUCUAGCCCAUCCUGGCUGAUCAAGGGAGGCUGUCGGGGCUGGUGAGGCAGGACAGCUCUGGUGCUGGCAACAAAUCAGAAAAGAUCAAAGCUGAGGCUUCGACUACACAAAGGGCUCCGUGCCAGGGAGGGACAGAUAGUGGCCGUGGGAUGGAAGGGUCUGGAUGUCUGCAGGACUGGCCCAAAUAGACCCUUUGAGAUAGAAAAGAAGCUAGAAAUUGUCAUUAGAGAUGAUAGCCUUACCUAACGACAGAAUGGGCUCUGGUGCCACGGCUCUUUCCUCUGCUUCCUGAGCAAGUUACACUGCACUUCAGUGUCCUUUUCUAUAAAGUGAAGACAGCAGCACCUAUGUGUAGGGUUGUUGCUGGGGCUAAAUGAGUUACCCACAUGUGAGUUAACACGUGUGCUUAGAACGCGUAUAAUGUACUACCCACAUGUAAUGAGGUACCACAGGAGCUUAUGAGGUGUGUAUCCGACUCACUACAGGUGCUCAAUACACAUUAUUCCUCAGUAUUUUCUUCCCAAGGCUCCCAACUUGCAGAUAAUAAAACUGAGUUCCAGACAGGCUCUAAGACUUCCUAGAGAUGACAUGGCCAACUGACAGCACAGAAGGCCUCCCCCACAGCCAGCCAGGAAACGGGCUGACUCUGCACGCCGUGGGUGUGGAAGGCCAAUGACAAGCAUUUAAUUUGCUCUUAAGCCAAAACAGUUGUUAGUAAAUUAAACAUUGAUUGUAAAAGGGUCUCCAAUUACGAUUCACUAAUUACAUCACCAGCUCAAUUGUCAUGCAGUUUAUAUACAAUUACCCAAGAACAAAUAUUUAAUUACUUUCCUCUUAAUACAUUAAACUAAUAUGAUUCCUCAAGCUGUGAGAUAGAAAUAUAGAAACAUUUAAUUGACAUGGAGACAUGAAAUCAGACAGUUAAUGAGACAAUAGCCAUAUUGUCUUGUCUGUUGGUGUGACAUAGCC